rnacentral:rRNA from 1 species
AGAGUUUGAUCAUGGCUCAGGACGAACGCUGGCGGCGUGCUUAACACAUGCAAGUCACGGGGGCUCGCAAGACAACCGGCGAACGGGUGCGUAACACGUGAGCAAUCUGCCGAUUUCUGGGGGAUAGCCGGCCCAACGGCCGGGUAAUACCGCAUACGCUGGUUGGGUGGAGUCACCUGGCCAGGAAACCUCCGGGGGAAAUCGAGGAGCUCGCGGCCUAUCAGCUAGUUGGCGGGGUCAAGGCCCACCAAGGCGACGACGGGUAGCUGGUCUGAGAGGAUGGCCAGCCACAUUGGGACUGAGAGACGGCCCAGACUCCUACGGGAGGCAGCAGUGGGGAAUCUUGCGCAAUGGCCGAAAGGCUGACGCAGCGACGCCGCGUGUGGGAUGACGCCUUUCGGGGUGUAAACCACUGUUGCCCGGGACGAACAGCUUCUUUCGAGGAGCCUGACGGUACCGGGUGAGGAAGCACCGGCUAACUCCGUGCCAGCAGCCGCGGUAAUACGGAGGGUGCGAGCGUUGUCCGGAAUCACUGGGCGUAAAGGGCGCGUAGGCGGCUUGGCAAGUCGAUGGUGAAAGCCCGAGGCUCAACUUCGGGUCGGCCACUGAUACUGCUAGGCUUGAGUCGACUAGAGGCAGAUGGAAUUCCGGGUGUAGCGGUGGAAUGCAGAGAUCCGGAAGAACACCGGUGGCGAAGGCGGUCUGCUGGGGUCGAACUGACGCUGAGGCGCGACAGCGUGGGGAGCAAACAGGAUUAGAUACCCUAGUAGUCC